CUCUUCCUUUCCCUCCCCCUCCUCUCCUGCAUGGCUGGCUGGAAGGGACAUCUCUCAUUACACAUGGCAAACAGGAGAAAUAAUUGGGAGAAAAAAAAGAAAAUCUGCAACAGUAAAAAAGCAGACAUAAAGGAGACAAACAGGAGACUGACAUCUGUGUAACAGAAUAACAUACAAAGAACAUUACAGAUAAGACAUUUACUGGACGUGGCUUUUAGGUGAAAUAAAGAGGGUGAAAUAAUGCUAAAAUUAAAUUACAGUAUUUAAUUUGGGGAGGAGGAAGAAAACCAAAGCAUGGCUAUGGCACGGCAUGACCCCCAUCACAGAUCAGGCUGCCAAUGAAAUGAAAAAGACAGAUUUAAUUGACUGAUUGUUUUUCAGCAGGAAGGGAGGAAUAACUGCUGCGGGCGAGUAAUGCUGCAGGCGAACCUUACAGACUGAAACGGAUACAUGAGGCACUUACAGACCCUCGCAGCAGCUCUACAUGGCAACACUCAGCUACAGACUGUACAUACUCAGCCAGCCUUCCCUAAAACUGCAUACACCUUCACAUAAAGGGACAGUACCAUGGCAUGUUUAUGCAAUUUGGACAAACAACGUGUUUGUGAUGCAACAAGCUGAACACUGCAAAUGAAGGUCAUCUCCUACUUAUACUGCAUUCUGACUUCCUAACUACUGCCUGGCUGCUAUGGAAAAUAAGCCCUAGCAACCAUCUUGAAGCUAAAAAAAAAA